rnacentral:sRNA from 2 species
CUCUACGAGACGCCGAGCUCUGCCACUCAAAGAGGGACGUCAGAACUUAUGGCAGAGACGGGGAAACCACUUUUGGCCGUGUUCGCACGGUCUUGGGGUGAAGUCCUGCAGCGCAGGGCCGGCCUUCUCAGCCGAAUCCGACAGCUCACCUCGCAGGCAAAAGAGAGGCAGU